AGAGUUUGAUCCUGGCUCAGGAUGAACGCUGGCGGCGUGCCUAACACAUGCAAGUCGAACGAAGCAAUUAAAAUGAAGUUUUCGGAUGGAUUUUUAAUUGACUGAGUGGCGGACGGGUGAGUAACGCGUGGAUAACCUGCCUCACACUGGGGGAUAACAGUUAGAAAUGACUGCUAAUACCGCAUAAGCGCACAGUACCGCAUGGUACGGUGUGAAAAACUCCGGUGGUGUGAGAUGGAUCCGCGUCUGAUUAGCCAGUUGGCGGGGUAACGGCCCACCAAAGCGACGAUCAGUAGCCGACCUGAGAGGGUGACCGGCCACAUUGGGACUGAGACACGGCCCAAACUCCUACGGGAGGCAGCAGUGGGGAAUAUUGCACAAUGGGCGAAAGCCUGAUGCAGCGACGCCGCGUGAGUGAAGAAGUAUUUCGGUAUGUAAAGCUCUAUCAGCAGGGAAGAAAAUGACGGUACCUGACUAAGAAGCCCCGGCUAACUACGUGCCAGCAGCCGCGGUAAUACGUAGGGGGCAAGCGUUAUCCGGAUUUACUGGGUGUAAAGGGAGCGUAGACGGCGAAGCAAGUCUGAAGUGAAAACCCAGGGCUCAACCCUGGGACUGCUUUGGAAACUGUUUUGCUAGAGUGUCGGAGAGGUAAGUGGAAUUCCUAGUGUAGCGGUGAAAUGCGUAGAUAUUAGGAGGAACACCAGUGGCGAAGGCGGCUUACUGGACGAUAACUGACGUUGAGGCUCGAAAGCGUGGGGAGCAAACAGGAUUAGAUACCCUGGUAGUCCACGCCGUAAACG
rnacentral:rRNA from 1 species